UACAGAGGUCUCAAGCGUUGUUCGGAUUCAUUGGGCGUAAAGCGUACGCAGACGGCUUGGAAGGUCGGACGUGAAAGCCCCGGGCUCAACCCGGGAAAUGCGUCCGAAACCACCUUGCUUGAGUAUGAGAGAGGGAAGCGGAAUUCCUGGUGUAGAGGUGAAAUUCGUAGAUAUCAGGAGGAACAUCUGCGGCGAAGGCGGCUUCCUGGCUCAUUACUGACGUUCAGGUACGAAAGCGUGGGUAGCAAACAGG
rnacentral:rRNA from 1 species